UCGGGAAACUUUUGCAAUACACGUAAGUGUGACAAAGCAAGCCAGAGUGCUUCUCUUUUUUGAGAAGCUUUUGUGAGAUGUAAAAAGUCUUACGAAUAAGGACUGGGCAAGACUGGUGCCAGCCGCCGCGGUAAUCCCAGCAGUCCAAGUCGCAGCCACAUUUGUUGGGUCUAAAAUAUCCGUAGCUUGCCUUUCAAGUCUUUUGUGAAAUCGGGACUCUUAAGGUUCCGGCGGGCAAAAGAUACUGUAAGGCUAGAGACCGGGAGGCGUAAGAAGUACGGAUGGGGUAACGGUAAAAUGUGUUGAUCCCAUUUGGACUAACAGUCGCGAAGGCGUCUUACGAGAACGGUUCUGACAGUGAGGGAUGAAGGCUAGGGGCGCAAAGUGGAUUAGAUACCCCUGUAGUCC
rnacentral:rRNA from 1 species